rnacentral:tRNA from 1 species
GGGCGCUUGGUCUAGGGGUAUGAUUUUCGCUUCGCAUAUUCCACUGGGCUUUCUUGAGAGCUUCAGUAUAAAGGAUCGUGACUGUGAAAGGUCGGGGGUUCAAAUCCCCCAGCGUCCA